AUGUGUGUGUGCUUGUGUACGUGUGCACGUUCUCUAUGGAGAGAGCGAGGCAGACACACACACACACACACACAGAGACACACACACAC
rnacentral:miRNA from 1 species